UGCCUCAGUAACGGCGAGUGAAGCGGCAACAGCUCAAAUUUGAAAUCUGGCCGCAAGGUCCGAGUUGUAAUUUGCAGAGGAUGCUUUUGGCGAGGUGCCUUCCGAGUUCCCUGGAACGGGACGCCAUAGAGGGUGAGAGCCCCGUACGGUAGGACCACCGAGCCUUUGUAAAGCUCCUUCGACGAGUCGAGUAGUUUGGGAAUGCUGCUCUAAAUGGGAGGUGUACGUCUUCUAAAGCUAAAUACCGGCCAGAGACCGAUAGCGCACAAGUAGAGUGAUCGAAAGAUGAAAAGCACUUUGAAAAGAGGGUUAAAAAGUACGUGAAAUUGUUGAAAGGGAAGCAUUCAUGACCAGACUUGGGCUUGGUUGAACAUCCGGCGUUCUCGCCGGUGCACUCUGCCAGUCCAGGCCAGCAUCAGUUUGCCCCGGGGGACAAAGGCGGUGGGAAUGUGGCUCUCUCCGGGGAGUGUUAUAGCCCGCCGUGUAAUGCCCUGGGGCGGACUGAGGAACGCGCUUCGGCUCGGAUGCUGGCGUAAUGGUCAUCAAUGACCCGUCUUGAAACACGGACCAAGGAGUCGUCUUCGUAUGCGAGUGUUCGGGUGUCAAACCCCUACGCGAAAUGAAAGUGAACGUAGGUGAGAGCU
rnacentral:rRNA from 1 species